rnacentral:rRNA from 1 species
UACGUAGGGUGCGAGCGUUAUUCGGAAUUACUGGGCGUAAAGGGGGCGUAGGCGGCCGUGAAAGUCCGGUGUGAAAACUCACGGCUCAACCGUGGGACUGCGCUGGAAACUACACGGCUUGAGGACGGUAGAGGGAGACGGAACUGCUGGUGUAGGGGUGAAAUCCGUAGAUAUCAGCAGGAACGCCGGUGGAGAAGUCGGUCUGCUGGGCCGUAACCGACGCUGAGGCACGAAAGCGUGGGUAGCAAACAGG